UCCGGUUUGUCACCGGCAGUCAUCUUAGAGUGCCCACCUUGCGUGCUGGCAACUAAGAUCAAGGGUUGCGCUCGUUGCGGGACUUAACCCAACAUCUCACGACACGAGCUGACGACAACCAUGCACCACCUGUCUCCCCUGUCCCGAAGGAAAGGCACAUCUCUGCGCCGGUCAGGGGGAUGUCAAGACCUGGUAAGGUUCUUCGCGUUGCUUCGAAUUAAACCACAUACUCCACUGCUUGUGCGGGUCCCCGUCAAUUCCUUUGAGUUUCAGUCUUGCGACCGUACUCCCCAGGCGGAGUGCUUACUGUGUUAACUUCGGCACCAAGGGUAUCGAAACCCCUAACACCUAGCACUCAUCGUUUACGGCGUGGACUAC
rnacentral:misc_RNA from 1 species